CAAUAGCGUAUAUUUAAGUUGCUGCAGUUAAAAAGCUCGUAGUUGGAUUUCGGGUGGGAAUGGCCGGUCCGCCGUUUCGGUGUGCACUUGCUACGCCCACCUUGCUGCCGGGGACGUGCCCUUGAGUUCACGCUCGGGACACGGAGUCGGCGAGGUUACUUUGAGUAAAUUAGAGUGUUCAAAGCAGGCCUACGCUCUGAAUACAUUAGCAUGGAAUAACACGAUAGGACUCUGGCCUAUCUUGUUGGUCUGUAGGACCGGAGUAAUGAUUAAGAGGGACAGUCGGGGGCAUUCGUAUUUCAUUGUCAGAGGUGAAAUUCUUGGAUUUAUGAAAGACGAACUUCUGCGAAAGCAUUUGCCAAGGAUGUUUUCAUUGA
rnacentral:rRNA from 1 species